CAAACAUGCACAUAUGGGUCCCAUAUGGGCUGUUUCUGGGCAAACCCAUAUGGGUAAGCCCAUAUGGGAGUCAUUUGGGACCAAUAUGGGCUAGCCCAUAUGGGAAUGCCCACAAGGGUCCCAUAUAGGUCCCAUAUUAUUGCGCUAUCGGGAAAAUAUGUAAACUUGUAUUUAUUUGAUUAAAAACUCAUUUUUUAAAACGUAUGUAGGACUAACUUGAUCUAAACUGCUAAUAUUUUACCCAAAAAUAGAAAAUCAAUGCAUAAGCAAAUAAUAUGCGGCCCAUAUGGGUCCCAUACGGGUCCCAUAUGGGAGUCAUUUGGGAGCUAUAUGGGCUUGCCCAUGUGGGAAUGCCGAUAAGGGUCCCAUAUAGGUCCCAUAUUAUUGCGCUAUCACGAAAAAGAUGUAAACUUGUAUUUAUUUGAUUAAAAACUCAUUUCUUAAAACGUAUGCUGAUCUAAACUGCUAAUAUUUUACCCAAAAAUAGAAAAUCAAUGCAUAAUCAAAUAAUAUGCAGUCCAUAUAGGUCCCAUAUGGGUCCCAUUUGGGCCGCCCAACAAAGCACAAAAUCAUCUACCGGGCUGUUUCUGGGAAAACUCAUAUGGGUAAGCCCAAAUGGGAGUCAUUUGGGACCUUUAUGGGUAAGCCCAUAUGGGAAUGCCCUUAAGGGUCCCAUAUAGGUCCCAUAUUAUUGCGCUAUUAAGAAAAAGAUAUAAACUUUUAUUUAUUUGAUUAAAAACUAAUUUCUUAAAACGUAUGUAUGACAAACUUGAUCUCAACUGCUAAUAUUUUACCAAAAAAUAUACAAUCAAUGCAUAAGCAAAUAAUAUGCAGCCCAUAUGGGUCCCAUUUGGGCCGCCCAACAAAGGACAAAAUCAGCUAUCGGGCGCACAUUUUUUGAAAAUUCUGUUUUUGAUAUUGCUAUGUUUUCAAUAAUGUAUAUACUAUGAUUAAUAUGUAGUUAUUUUCAAGAGAUAAUUUUAAUUUAAAUAAUCGCGCAGAAAAAUAAAGUAUUUAAAUAAAAUGCGCAUGCGCAGAUGUUAAUUCCGCCUCGCGAAAACAUUCAAAACAAAAUCACUCGAAACGGGUAAUUUGUUAAAUUGUGAUAUUAUACACGCAAUUAUAUAUUUCUUUUAAAAUCAGAUAUAUAUUGCUGAUCACGCAUUAUUUAUUUAUCUGUUACUUCAAUGAAUGCCUGUGUGUUUAAUAAUUUGAACUGCAAAUUAUGAGACUUUUUAUUCGCUUUGCAUUUGUCAUGUAUUUUCGCGACGUAAGUCGUUACGUUCGAUUGUCGCCAUAGAUCAAUCUCUUAGUUAAACUGCUUAAUUCAACUUGAUUCUGCCUAAAAUUCAAUACAAACUAUUUAUAGCAGACAGGCGCAUGUCUGAAAAAAUGGAACACUUAAUGAGUAAUCAUGCUAAUGCAUGAGAAUCUUACUUAUCUCAUACAUUGAUAUUAUUAAUUUAAACGUAUUACAUCAAAGACGUAUAAUAUAAUGUUUUUUUAUAGAUCUUUGAUUACUUGCACGCAAGCCAAGGUUGUCUGCCUGUGGGCAAAUUUUAAUGAUUAUUUAAACACAUAUUUGCAGAAUAUUAAAAAAGUCUGUGUAUUAAGAAAUAAUUAAAUUUGUAAUGUUUAUUGUACAAAUUUAUUUCAGAAAAUAAAAUAUUCACCACCGCCUCGUUUGCCAACAUAAUCUUUACAAGGAAUGUCCAGCAGUGCAUGGCAGAGGUCGGUCACUCCCAUUAAGUCCAGGCAGCUGAAGAGCCUUCCCAAAGACAGUUCAUAGGACAAAAUGCAGUUACACAGAUUUUAACGGUGUUGGAAACAAUGAGAGAUGAGAACAGGGAAAUGAAGCAGAUGCUGCAGUGGCUCUUGGCUAGGUCAGCUACUGAUGACGAGCCAAUGCAACUGCCAGAGAACAUCAGUCUUCCAAUUGGAACAUUUGAGCAAAUGGAUGAGUUUGAAGAGCAUCUUGGUGAUGAAGCUACGAUCCAUCUUUUCUAGGACUGCUGCAUAGUUCAAGCUUUUUUAAGCUUUUUUAUCAAAUAUAUUAAGCAAUGUUGUAAAUCAGUGUCCGACAAAUUUCUUAUUUUUCAGGUAGCCCACUGGGCUACCAAUAAAAAUAUUUGGUAGCCCAUAAAAUUUUCCUACAAAAUGAUAAGAGGCAGGUUUUCAUCUUUAUUUUAUUUCUUCAUUUAGAUAUACAUAAUAUGUAUACAUACAUAUACAUAAAACAGCAAGUAGUCUGAUGUACAUGUAGUCAAUAUCGUAAAUUAAUGUUACAGUACAUGCACCGUGUACUUAAAUGUAAAUGUACCAAAGAAAAACAGAUACUACAUGUAGAUAUUACAUGUAUGUGCACAUGUAUGUGUACUUAAAUUCGGACAGCACGUUAAGUCGUAAACGUAAAUAAAGCGUUUAGAUGAUCAAUACGAUUGACUCGUAUGGUGUUAAUCAAUGCAAUUGCCCUUUUUAACAACAAAUACUGAGUUUCAAGAAAUCAAGAGUAUUAAAGCAUUUAUUUACUUGUGUCCGACUUUAAGUACUAUCCGAAUUUACGUAUUUCAUCCGUAUGUUACGAAACUUGUGUGCAGUCAGUACACAAUACAAUAAUUGUUUCAAUAAUGAAGGAACUCGUGUUUACAUGAUAUUUUAUUAAGAGAAAAUGUCAAUGCCAAAUAAUUCGCGAUAUAUCCCGGUACUUUAGUUAAAAUUCACAACGAAACUUUUAAUGGAAAUUAAAUGAUCUCAAUGUUGUACUCGCUACGAAUUUUUUUAUUUACAAAUAAAUACACCCACGCCAAUUUUUGCACGCUUUUUAUCAGGACAAAGAAAUUCAUUUCUUAAAUGCAGAAUUUUGUAACCUAAAAUAGCUGUACACAACGCGUGCAAACCGUGGCAGGUUAUUUACGCAUGUUGCAAUACAACGGUCCUGAUUGGGAGCUUAUUUCAUCAUAUCUUUAAAUAGAACCAUAUGCCGAUAUUCAUUUGACACUUUAGAAAAUUUCAAACGUUUGUGUUUAUGACUCUUAUUGUCUAUAUUACCCACCCAUAAUUUGGUUUUAAAAAUAUAAAUCGGGUAUAUAUGGGAUUAUUGAUAAACAGGCGAUUAAUCCAAUUAUUAAUUGACAAUGCAAAUUAAUUAGCAGGUGUUAACCGCGUUCACAAAGUUGUCAUUAAUAUUCAUUUUCGGUUUCGUUACCGUUUUGAAGAAUCCGCUAUUGUUUUGAUUUAUUUAAUGUUUGGCGUCCUUCGAUAUUUAACGACAUCAAAAACGUUGUCGCUAUUACUCAUUGUUGCGGUAAACAAAGAAUUCCAAACUGCGAAAUGAUGUUGCAUCAUGUGCGCCAACUAUCCAACCGGCUCUCAUUAUAUUAUUAGCAGACGACAAAUGUUGAUUCUGAUUGGAUGAUUAAAAUACACUGUUACUGUUUAAGACAUUACCGCAAGUGAUCGGUGACUGAUUAGAUAAUUGAUUGCACUUUGUUAUCGGAUUAUAAGCAAUACACAGUGUACAAACACAUGGUCAGCGUGUUUAUUCUACGUAUGUCUGUCAAUAAACCGGGCUACCGCUCUUAUAGAUUUAUAGUAGCCCGGCGGGCGUCAGCUGGAAAAUUUCAGUAGCCCGAUGAAAAAUUUCGGUAGCCCCCGGGCUCCGGGCAAUGGAUUUGUCGGACACUGUAAAUGUAAUUGACAGUUUUUUAUCCAUUGAUCCUAAACCAUUCCUUUAAGGCUCAUCUUCUAAGAAAGCAUACAAUCUUUUUUAUCUGGAAAUGAAACGGUAUAUAUUCCUUUGCAAAAGAAGAAACAGCAUUCCAGUUUUUGAAGGUUUUAAAAGACAUAUAUAUAUAUAUCAUGUGCAGUUACGAAAAACACUGGAAUGUAUGAAGAUAUCAAAGAUAAUAAUGUGGACUUGUUCUCAAAAAAGGAUUUGCCAUUUAUUUGAGUUUUGGAUUUUUCUGCAGGGUUUUUAAUUUGUAGUUUAUAAAAUAUUUUGUAUACCAGUAGUCUUGCAAGUAUGUUUUCUACGAAUGUUCUUUGAGUACAUGGUGUGUUAUUUGUAUUGGUUAAAGAUUUAAUAUGCAUGGGCAGAGCUCCAGAUAAGGUUUUGUGAAAUUCUUAAAUUACUACCAGAUUUUCAAAAAGAAUUCUUAACUCUGAAAUUUUAUUCUUAACGUUACUACUUAGUUUUGGAAAAUAAUUCUUAUUUUUUGUAAAUGACCUAAAAAUAAAUAAUAAUGGUUAUUUUCAUGCAAAAAAAAUCAAAAUAAACAUAUUAGCAACUUUAUUUAUACUAGUUCAACAGUGUCUUUUCAGUAUUAUACAAUUUUAUUUUUCAAAAACCUUCAUAUGCCCAAACUGUGCUCAGAUUGCAUGCCUUAGAUGAAUUUUUACAUAUUUCACAAUUAAAACGGGUCUCCCCUUCAAUCUUUUCAACGAUUAGCCAUGGGACUUGUCCCUUCCACUCGUUUAAUGUUUUUUGUGUGUUUAAGUUUGGACCCGUCGUGUUGCAUUUUUGUUUAGCUUUUCCGACUGUGUCAGCAACUGAAAAUACAACAUCGUAUAAGAUCUUUUCUAUAAUGUCUUUCUAAACAUUUAACUUUGGCUCACUUUGUGUACAAUAUGUUAAAAGCGUGUUUUUGGACGCUUUGCAGUUUUUUAGGACGCUCUCUGGGCGCUGACAUUGUUUUUUAACAGAUAGACUGUAUACGCCGCUUUUAUUGGAAAAAAUGCGCUUUGUUAAACAAACCCGAUAACCAUUCUAUAUAAGCACCGCAAUGAUCUUUAAUACGUGAAAAGAACUCAAUAAAAAUCGAUACAAACCGAUGUAAAAAUAAUAUUCGUAACUUGAUUUUGUAAUUCUUAAUGGUAUGACAAGAUAUUAAAAUAAAUAUGUAACGGGCUUGAAAAUAAUUCGCAAUUACGAAAAUACGACCCUUAUCUGGAGCUCUGCAUGGGUAUGCUUUGUAGUAAUGUGUAGAACAUCAGGAAAAUACUUGAAGGUAUUCUGUAUAUGUAAUAUAUAUUUAAUUUCAAAAUAAUAGAAGUCCUUAAUUCUAUAGUCGUAUAACUGGGUGACAUAUAUAAUGUUAUAGAAAAACGUCUUAUUGUUUGAAGUUAUGUCUUUAUUGUUCCUUAAAAUAGUUUUACUGUUGGUUUGGGUUUAUAGAUUAUGAGUAACAUUACUCCAUGCGGAUAGAACAUUAGAUAGAAACAUGUUUUUGUUAGCAACUUCAUGUAAAAUAUUUUUGCUCAUGUUACAUUCAGAAAGUUAGGAAUCACCAUAUUAUUUUAGAAUUUUCUGGUAGAAUAGUUAACGUGGGAUCCUCCUGCUAUGUAUGUAUGAAUCCAUGUAUAUGUGUGUAAUACUUUAUGUGAAUAAAAGUUGAGAGUA